GGGAUGAGAGCUUGAGCCUGAGUGAUAGUGAUUUUGACAAGCCGGAGAAAUUAUAUUCUCCUAAGAGAAUUGACUUCACUCCAGUUUCUCCAGCACCUUCGCCCACCAGGGGAUUUGGAAAGAUGUUUGUGAGCAGCAGUGGAUUGCCACCAAGUCCAGUUCCCAGUCCAAGACGAUUUUCAAGCAGGAGAAGUCAGAGUCCAGUCAAGUGCAUUAGACCCAGUGUUCUUGGUCCUCUUAAAAGAAAAGGUGAAAUGGAGACAGAAAGUCAGCCCAAGAGACUCUUCCAAGGCACUACCAAUAUGUUAUCUCCAGAUGCCGCGCAAUUGUCUGAUCUCAGUUCAUGUUCAGAUAUUUUGGAUGGCAGUAGUAGCAGCAGUGGCUUAUCCUCAGACCCGCUGGCUAAAGGCAGCGCUACCGCAGAGUCUCCAGUAGCAUGCUCCAAUUCAUGCUCUUCGUUCAUCUUGAUGGAUGAUCUCUCACCCAAGUGACUUAACCAUUUCUGAUUCAACGUUUUAACUGCUGUUUCCUACAUAAAAUGUUUAGUGGGGAACGCAGAGAACUUUGAUCCAUAAUGAGGAUUAAAGUUUUACAGAUUUCACGCAUUCUGAUGCUAUUAUUACUCUUUGGCAUCUCUCUUCUCCAAAGUUCAAUUUUGUGAGCCCAGUGACCUUACUAAUAUCUGGUUUUGCUGAUCUCAUUUUGGAUUUAGUGAUGAAAUCUCAAAUGCUCA
rnacentral:sRNA from 1 species